rnacentral:rRNA from 1 species
AUGCAAGUCGAGCGAUGAUGCUCCCUUCGGGGGGUACAUCAGCGGCGAACGGGUGAGUAACACGUGGGUGACCUUCCGCAAAGACGGGGAUAACGCUUGGAAACAGGGGCUAAUACCCGAUGUGCUCAGCAGUUCACUCUGUUGAGUAAAGCUAUCGCGCUUUGGGAUGGGCCCGCUGUCCAUCAGCUAGUCGGUAUGGUAAUGGCCUACCAAUGCUAAGACGGGUAUGGGGCGUGAGAGCGCGAUCCCCCAUACUGGCACUGAGACACGGGCCAGAGUCCUACGGGAGGCAGCAGUGAGGAAUAUUGCGCAAUGGACGAUAAGUCUGACGCAUCGACGCCGCGUGGGCGAUGAAGGCCUACGGGUCGUAGAGCCCUUAGCUGGGGGACGAGAAAGGACGGUACCCCAGGAAUAAGGCCCGGGUAACUACGUGCCAGCAGGCGCGGUCAAACGUAGGGGGCAAGCGUCAUCCGGAUCUACUGUGCGUAAAGAGCGUCGAGGCGGGUAUGAAAGUAGGGCGUGAAAGCCCUGGGCUUAACUCAGGGAAGCCGUUCAAUACUGCGAAACUUGACGGCAGCAGAGGGAGGUGGAAUUCCCGGAGUAGCGGUGACAUGCGUAGAUAUCGGUCAGGAAACACGCAGUGGCGAAUGUAGACUCCUGGGCUGCUCCUGACGCUGAAUGCUAAAGCUCAUGGGGAGCAAACGGGAGUAGACACCCCGGUAGUCCUAGCCGUGAACGAUGGAUGCUAGCUCUGUGGGGCUGUAGAUUCCCUCCGUGCCGCAGUCAACGCGUUAAGCAUCCCGCCUGGGGAUGUACGUCCGCAAGGCUCAAACUCACCCGAUCUGACGGGGGCCCGCACAAGCCGCGGAGAGUGUGACUUUAAUUCGAUGCUACACGAAGAACCUUACCUGGGCUUGACAUACAGGUAGUAGUGAACUGCAAGCGGAUCGACCCUUCGGGGAGCCUGUACAGCUGCUGCAUGCCUUUCGUCAGCUCGUGCCGUGUGAUGUCGGGUUAAGUCCCGUAACGAGCUCAACCCUUGCUCUUAGUUAUACGUGUCUAAGAGGACUGCCGGCGUUAAGCCGGAGGAAGGUGGGGAUGACGUCAAGUCAUCAUGGCCUUUAUGUCCAGGGUUACACACACGCUACAAUGGUCGGUACAAUGGGUAGCUAAACCGCGAGGUGGAGCCAAUCCUGUAAAGCCGGUCUCAGUUCGAAUUGCAGUCUGCAACUCGCCUGCAUGAAGUCGGAGUCGCUAGUAAUCGCAGGUCAGCAAUACUGCGGUGAAUACGUUCCCGGGCAUUGUACACACCGCCCGUCACGUCAUGGAAGCUGGCAACACCUGAAG